GACGAACGCUGGCGGCGUGCUUAACACAUGCAAGUCGAACGGGCCUUGUCCCCUUUUUUUUUGGGGGUGGGGUUAGUGGCGAACGGGUGAGUAACACGUGAGUAACCUGCCCCUCACUUCUGGAUAACCGCUUGAAAGGGUGGCUAAUACGGGGUGUUCUGGCCUGCUCGCAUGGGUGGGUUUGGAAAGAUUCGACCGGUUUUGGUUGUUUUGGUGGGGGAUGGGCUCGCGGCCUAUCAGCUGGUUGGUGGGGUGAUGGCCUGCCAAGGCUUUGACGGGUAGCCGGCCUGAGAGGGUGGGCGGUCACACUGGGACUGAGACACGGCCCAGACUCCUACGGGAGGCAGCAGUGGGGAAUAUUGCACAAUGGGCGCAAGCCUGAUGCAGCGACGCCGCGUGAGGGAUGGAGGCCUUCGGGUUGUGAACCUCUUUCGCCAGUGAAGAAGGUCCUGCUCUUUGUGGUGGGGUUGACGGUAGCUGGGUUAAUGAAGCGCCGGCUAACUACGUG
rnacentral:rRNA from 1 species